rnacentral:rRNA from 1 species
UACGUAGGGCGCAAGCGUUAUCCGGAAUUAUUGGGCGUAAAGAGCUCGUAGGCGGUUUGUCGCGUCUGCCGUGAAAGUCCGGGGCUCAACUCCGGAUCUGCGGUGGGUACGGGCAGACUAGAGUGAUGUAGGGGAGACUGGAAUUCCUGGUGUAGCGGUGAAAUGCGCAGAUAUCAGGAGGAACACCGGUGGCGAAGGCGGUGGUCUGGGCCGGCACUGACGCUGAGGAGCGAAAGCGUGGGUAGCAAACAGG